GAAAUAUGCAGCAGGGGGCAGCACUACGAACCAUCAGCUGAAUCACUGCCUACAGGGGCAGCAGAAGAAGAAAGGCGGAGGGGCCAUGAAAGAUUCAAAUGAACGAUAGCUGAACUUAUGUUUUUCACCAGCAGACCCUAAUUAUUGGAUUAAUGGGUGAGGACUUUUUUGUUUACUUUGAUAUUUAGUACAUUACCUGUACAGAGUUUUGAAUUUGGUGUGCAAUAGCACACAUUAUCCGUUUUUUUGUUUUUGUCUUUGAUUCUUGAUUUUGGAGACAGUUUGGCUUUACUAAAUUGUCUGCAUGAGUUUUAUAUAUGUCCAUUUAUGUGUGUACAAUACACUGUUGGGUAAAAUACACAUUUAACAUUCAUUUUAAAGUAGUCAUUUAGCCAAGUAUUUUUAUUUUUCUCCAAGGUCACCAGACUUAAUUUAAUUCUUACAGCAAAUUUCUUCCUCUUUGUGUUCUAAGUGUGGAGCUUCUAGAGGAAGUAAAAAAAAAAAGAAUAAAAGAAACAACACCCAGACGCAGAGAACAUUCUCUCUAUGAAGGCAAGAAGUAGCUCAAGACACCGAUCGUUGACCUCACAGAAAGAUGACCUGCACUGUUUCUUCCAUGCCAGGUAUUAUUAUUGAUUUUAGUUUGUGUUUCCUUCAUUAUGACUAAUUUCUGUGUUUUAUUUAGAGAAUUACAAAGUUAAUUUCAAGACGAUGUUUAUGGAAAAACUUGACAAAUGUUCUCCAACAAUCCUGACGAUGGUGUUGGCCAAAGGUGGAGAAGACAGACAAGUUACAUCAGGUAAGAUUUAAAUUAGGUUUAGUCAUUUCAUUGUUUGGGUUUGUUAAAAUAAUGUACACAUGUUUUGCUACAAUUAUUAUUAUCAUUAUUAUUAUUUUUGUAAUUAACUUUAUAUUCUCCAUGCAGAUUAGAAUAAGUCCAUCAGGGACGGUGGGAGUUUGCCAUUCAGGCCGUCAUGAUCCAGCUCAGAGGAGGAGGAUCAUCUUGGAGCAGUUGGAUGACGGCAGGAACGGUGCCACAGAAAGUGCAACGCAGAAAACCAUGAAGACCCAUGAAAACUGCAGAGAGAACCAACUACUAAAGCUCCACUCGUCACUGAAGCGACUGCAGUCCUGGAAGCCUCUGAUGUUUGGUCCUGCACUUUACUCAUGCAGUCAACCUCUGCUGCCCCAAACAAGUGAAGAUCUUUGUCUUAGUUUCUUCACAUACCCCUGAAUCAUUGAUCGCGGGGUAUAACCAUAGUUUUGGAAUCACUUUUCUAAAAUCAAUGUCAAAUGCAAAAGUUGGACUUGUUCUUGGUUCAGGGCUCGAAAUUAACUUUUUUUCUUGAUAGCGCUUGUGCUCCUAAUUCUGAAAUUUAGGAGCACAACCAAAAAAAAACAGAAGCUUUUAACAGGGAUGAAGGGAAUUUAAACAUAUCACAUGCCACUUCCAGCCUUCACCAGAUUUUGUGCCUUUGCCAGAAUCUUUGAAGACGUGUUAAACAUUGCGUUUGUGACUUUACGUUUUGUAUUUAGCGAGAGCGGCGAUGAUUCGCUUUCAGCGCUGCACGAGGUGACAGGUGGGUUGGAUUGAAGUUUGCGCUGCUUCUCCUCCUGACAUCGAUUUGCGCGUCAUUUGAGAGAUAGUUCCCAGUCCCAAUGAGUUUAUGAAUGAUAUAUAUUCCUCGUUUUCUCAUAAAGAGACUACAGUUGCGUAAAUACAUUGGCUCAUUAAAUGAAAGCGGGCAGAGGAAUGAGAGCGUUGCACAGGCACACGCAGAGAACACGGGCUGGGCUGGUGCAGAUUGUCCCAGGCAGCGCGUGUGACCGGGAGGAAUGACAGCAGCGCUGAGCCAAAAGAGAGAACAGAUCGUACGGUACUAUAAGCUCUUGAACCAUUUUGGAACAGAAAGUUUGCUGUUGCUGACAGGCAGCGUUUGUGAAAACAAUGACACAAGCUUUUUUAAGGUAACACGAGAAGGUUUUCAGACCGGAGCAUUUGUUUGCAGUCGCAAACAUGCGAGUGAUUCUAUUUUGAGAUCGCAAAGGCAUAAUUUUGGGAGCAUAUGCGACCAAGAUGGUCGCAAUUUCGAGCCCUGUUGGUUUAAAACGUAAUAUUGUGUUGGAACACCACAUUACAUUCUUCAAUUUAAAAAAGUGUUUUUGUAAUUGUUUGCAUAUAGGCCUGUUUGUAGAACGAUUGACAGCUUAAUAAAAUUGUAAUGUAUACGUUGCUCAAACUUAAAUAAAAUGAGUGUCAGUUUAUGGGAUAUUUGAGCUGAAUCAAUUAUGUUGGGGGGAAAUGGCUGAAAUUCUAUAUUUUUACAACUCAAAUUUAACAAAAAAGAAAUCAUUAAAUUCAAGCUGGCUGAACUUAAAAUAAGAACAUUUUCU
ensembl:lncRNA